GACGAACGCUGGCGGCGUGCUUAACACAUGCAAGUCGAACGGACCCUUUGGGGUUAGUGGCGAACGGGUGAGUAACACGUGGGUGAUCUGCCCUGCACUUUGGGAUAAGCCUGGGAAACUGGGUCUAAUACCGGAUAGGACUACGCACUGCAUGGUGUGUGGUGGAAAGCUUUUGCGGUGUGGGAUGGGCCCGCGGCCUAUCAGCUUGUUGGUGGGGUGAUGGCCUACCAAGGCGACGACGGGUAGCCGGCCUGAGAGGGUGACCGGCCACACUGGGACUGAGAUACGGCCCAGACUCCUACGGGAGGCAGCAGUGGGGAAUAUUGCACAAUGGGCGCAAGCCUGAUGCAGCGACGCCGCGUGAGGGAUGACGGCCUUCGGGUUGUAAACCUCUUUCGCCAGGGACGAAGCGCAAGUGACGGUACCUGGAGAAGAAGGACCGGCCAACUACGUGCCAGCAGCCGCGGUAAUACGUAGGGUCCGAGCGUUGUCCGGAAUUACUGGGCGUAAAGAGCUCGUAGGUGGUUUGUCGCGUUGUUCGUGAAAACUCACAGCUUAACUGUGGGCGUGCGGGCGAUACGGGCAGACUGGAGUACUGCAGGGGAGACUGGAAUUCCUGGUGUAGCGGUGGAAUGCGCAGAUAUCAGGAGGAACACCGGUGGCGAAGGCGGGUCUCUGGGCAGUAACUGACGCUGAGGAGCGAAAGCGUGGGGAGCGAACAGGGUUAGAUACCCUGGUAGUCCACGCCGUAAACGGUGGGUACUAGGUGUGGGUCUCCUUCCUUGGGAUCCGUGCCGUAGCUAACGCAUUAAGUACCCCGCCUGGGGAGUACGGCCGCAAGGCUAAAACUCAAAGGAAUUGACGGGGGCCCGCACAAGCGGCGGAGCAUGUGGAUUAAUUCGAUGCAACGCGAAGAACCUUACCUGGGUUUGACAUGCACAGGACGCCGGCAGAGAUGUCGGUUCCCUUGUGGCCUGUGUGCAGGUGGUGCAUGGCUGUCGUCAGCUCGUGUCGUGAGAUGUUGGGUUAAGUCCCGCAACGAGCGCAACCCUUGUCUCAUGUUGCCAGCACGUUAUGGUGGGGACUCGUGAGAGACUGCCGGGGUCAACUCGGAGGAAGGUGGGGAUGACGUCAAGUCAUCAUGCCCCUUAUGUCCAGGGCUUCACACAUGCUACAAUGGCCGGUACAAAGGGCUGCGAUGCCGUGAGGUGGAGCGAAUCCUUUCAAAGCCGGUCUCAGUUCGGAUCGGGGUCUGCAACUCGACCCCGUGAAGUCGGAGUCGCUAGUAAUCGCAGAUCAGCAACGCUGCGGUGAAUACGUUCCCGGGCCU
rnacentral:rRNA from 1 species